rnacentral:rRNA from 1 species
UACGUAGGGUGCAAGCGUUGCCCGGAUUUAUUGGGCGUAAAGGGCGCGUAGGCGGCUCGGCACGUCCGUUGUGAAAUCGCCCGGCUCAACUGGGCGGGGUCAGCGGAUACGGCCGAGCUUGAGCAAGCUAGGGGGCAAUGGAAUUCCCGGUGUAGUGGUGGAAUGCGUAGAUAUCGGGAGGAACACCCGUGGCUAAGGCGGCUCUCUAGUACGGUACUGACGCUGAGACGCGAAAGCGUGGGGAGCGAACAGG